AAUGGUCCUAGUAUUCUUAUUCAAAUCAAUUGACCAUAUGUGUAUGGGUUUAUUUUUUAACAUUGAAUUCUGUCCCAUUGGUCCAAAUGUCUGUACUUAUGCCAGUAUCACACUAUCUUCAUUACUAUAGCUUUGUACUGUAGCUUGAUUACUGUAGCUUAGAAAUCAGGACAUUUCUCAAAAGUCUUCCACUUGUAUCCUUUCCCAGAUUGGUUUGGCUAUUCAGGAUCCCUUGCCUUUCCAUGUUAGUUUUGGGAUAAUCUUGCUCAUUUCUAUGAGAAAAGUAGAUGGAAUUUUGAUUGGAAUUGUACUGACUUGUAGAUCAAUUUGGGAAGUAUUGCCAUGUUAGCAAUAUAAAGUCUUCCAAUCCAUCAACACAGGCUGUGUUUUCAUUUUCAUGUAUGGAUGGAAAGAAGAUCCAUCCAUUAGAUCUUUUUUCAUUACUUUCAACAAUGUUUUAUAGCUUAUAUUUCUCUAAUUCCUCUUUACCUUUCUCCAUAUGGCCAAUUUGAGAACCUGCUGCUGCUUGUCCUGGGAAUGUAAUAAUUAUUCAUUCAUUGUACUCAUCCGUCUUGUUGUCAAGAAGUAGUUGUGGAAGACAUAGAGGCAUUGAGGGGCUGAGCAGACAUGGUGAAAGGAAAAGAAAAUUUCAGAUAAAAACCAAGAAAUAGGAAAUGGAAUUCUGCUUAUGCUUGAAACGACUUAAGUAGUUCACAAAUAAAUAAUAACAACAUCAACUACUUGAAAUUAACAUUUUCUUGAAUUAACAACUAUCUUUUUUACAAACUCAUUCUUGAGAAUUAAAUUCAAUGCUAAUACUGCUCUUGCUUAGAUAAUUAUUAAACCUCUUGUUUUAGAAUUGCAUUCAAGGACCUUAGUAUGGUCCAAGGAAUGCUAUCAUGGUGGUGGUGUUUUCAGAAGAUAAUUACUUCUCUAUUAAAAUAGGAAAUGUAAUUAUAAUGUUAAUGUUUGGAUAAGGAUAAGGAUAAUGUUACUAUCCUAAUGAAAGUUGGAAAUUAUAGUGUUAAUUUAUUGAGAUAUUUACUUAUGCUUAAUUCUAGGGAUCUUUUUUUCCUCUGCAGUUCCUAGAGAGUAGAUAGGCUCUUUUUGUUCUUUUGUCUUAGGGGAGCCUUUUGUUCACUGAACAAGGUUUCCUGUACACAAACUUUCUCUCUAGUUUCGGUGUGUUUGUAUUUUGAAAGAGUGGGCUCCUUAAUGAUAUUAAAGUGUACUGGUGAUGGAGAGGCAGGAGGAAACUAGAAGGACUCAAAGUAAGAAGUAAUCACAAACUGGGAGGUGGACAAAAACAUUCAGAUUUUUCUGAGAGUUGGGACCCAUGAUUUAUUCCUCUAAGAGUGACCCACACAGUUAACCAAUUCCUUCCUGAUAGCAGGAGGCAUAGUUUCAUGUGGAGACUGGGCCUUGGAUAUUUAUGAUUCCAGCCUUGGUCAAGAUUCCUGUGCCUGGUGAAAACAGAGUUGUUGGAUAUGAAGGGACCAUGAGAGCAUGAGUUAAGACAGUAUUAGGGUUACUAGUGUGUCUAAAGACCCGAGAGAACCAAUGAACAUUUGUUCUAUGUAGGAUUUCUGAGUUCUGCUUAUGAUUGUGGUGGGGGUAGGAACGGUAUGGGAAGAAACCUCCAAUCAUAACUAGCAUUUUACAGCAUCCCAUGCAGUUAAGUAUUCUGAGAUAGAUUUAAUUAAAUUUAAGGAAAAUAAAGUAAUGUGACAUAUCUGGCAUAAGUACUUCAUAGAAUAAGAUUCACCCCCUUGAAUACUGGUUCUGAUGUAAGUUCCACACUAGGAGCUCUGCAAUUCUAUUAAACCAUCGUGAAAUAAAACAGUUUCUUCAGGGGGGCGACUUUGAAGUGCAACCUUCAUUUGGAUAUAACUUUUCAUCUAUGCGUAAUAAUUCUAUAAUGACCUGGUGUUCACAUGGACAAGAUUACAUGUAGUUUAGAGUGUGGUGCAGUUUUAGAGAUGUUGGUAGUGAGGUGAGUCAUAAUUCCUUUAGGUCUGGCUUCUCUGACCUUUAGUGAUUCCUGCUCCUUGGAGCCAAACAAGGGUUUUCUGGAGCACAUAGUAUGAAAACUGUGGUUCUCUCUUCCUUAUUAUUAAUCACUCAAGGCAAAGUUUAACUUCAGAUACAGUUUUACAUUAAGCUUUCCAAAUAUCACAUUAAUAAGAAAAUCAUAAAUUUGUAUUUUUUUGUUUUUGUAAUUAAAGUAUAGUUGAUUUACAAUAUUAUGUCAUUUCUUCUGUACAGCGGAGUGACCCAUACAUAUAUAUAUACACAUGUAUAUAUAUAUACAUAUUCGUUGAAAAUCAUAAAUUUCAUAGCUAAACAGAAAAAAUUUUAUCAUUAUGCUCCUUAGUCUCAGCCUUGCAAAUCUAUCUAAUCUGCCCAUACCUCAUGCCAUAAGGGCACAUAAAGGACAAAAGCCAAUUAUGUUUGACUCUGUGGUAUUUCUUCAUAGGCUUCAACCUGUUGUGUUUUGCUCUUUUCUCACUGGCUCUUCAGUGCCUUUUAUCCUUUGAAUCAAUUGUUGGCCUUCUUUGAUUUUGUGAUCUUUGACUGUGUGAGCUGGAUCCACUCCCGUUGGACUCUCUUCCUUUCCCAAUCCAUGUGAUUCAAAAUGUCAUAUUCUUGCUAGCUUUUAGUGCUUUCAUCCAGAAGAGAUAGUCGGCCUACUAGUUUGGGUUCUCAAGGAUGUACACUAUCUUCUGGGCUAGCCCCAACCUAACAGUCACAAUUGGAUACAUCCAUUUACUAAGCCAUCCAUGCUUCUGUAUAGUCUGCCUAUUUGCAAGGUAGACUUAGGGAGGCAUAAAUAAAUGUACAAAAAUUCAGAAUCAAAGUACUUUGGAGAAAAAAGGACAAAUUAUUCUAGAAAAUCUAGACUAAAGAAAACUAUAAAUUGAAUUGUGUCCCCCAAACUGCAUAUUUUGAAGUUCGUAACCCCGGUACCUCAGAGUGUGACCUUACUUGGAAAUAGAGCUGUUGCAGAUGUAAUUUAGAUGAGGUCAUACUGGAGUAGAGUGGGCCCCUAAUUUAAUAUGACUGGUGUCCUUAUAAAAAGGGCAAAUUUGAAUACAGACACUCACAUAGAAAGAAUGCCAUGUAAAUAGGAAGGCAGAGAUUAGGAUGCUGCCUCAACCAAGGGAACACCAGAAGCCAGGGGAGAGGCCUGGAACAGUCUUCCUCACUGUCUUUAGAAAGGACCAGCUCUGCCAAUACCUUGAUCUCAGACUUCUAGCCUCCAAACUGUGGGGCCUAUACAUUCUGUGGUUUGUGACCGUUUGUUAUGGCAUCCCUAGCAAAGUAAUACAUGAUCCUAAAUGUAAAAUCUAUUUUUCUACUUAGACGACCUCACUUCUUUUUCAAAAUUAUAUUUUAAACUUGAUUGGUGGUGUCAUAUAUGACAUAGGUUUUUCUUAACCAUGCAAAUUUCAUGAUGAAUACUUCACUAAUUUUCCACAUUUUGAAAUAUAAACCAGACUGGCAUAUAUGGGAUAUGUAAUUGCCCUCUCAGUCCAUAAGCUCCACCAUCUUCAUACACAAAAUGCUUGCCAAGCAAAUUAAAUUUACAGAUACACCAUUUUGAGCUUAUUUUAUUCUAAUUUCCCUUAUUUAGUGGUUUGACUUUGACUUCACCCUGAUUUUCAUUCCUUAAAUGGGAGAAAAUUUGGCAUGGCUCCCAGUUAUAUUUGGCCUUUUGCAAGUUGCCUCCUUAGAGCUUCCUUCCUCUCCUCCCUCCUACUCCCUCCAAUUAAUUCAGUAGUAGCUUAUUAACUACUGUUGCCGCAAUCUCUGUACAUUUUCUUCAACAACUACUUCUAGGGCAGCCAUGUUAACCAGGCACUGGGAAUAUAGCAAUCCACAAGAUAUAAACAGUUCUUGGAAAUAACCCUUGUGCACUGUGUUGAGGUUUACAAAAGAACAAAAGUAUAAUAUUUUUGUGGCUUAAAUUUUUGUGCUGUCUCCUUUUUACUCUAAAUGAUUUUGGUUGUUUUAAUGUUGUACCAAUUCAGACAUGAUUAUGUAUCUUUUAUAUAUAUACCAAGGAGAUUCUGACACCCUGGGUAUAUAAAAUUAUGGAAUCAAAAAAAGUUUCUUCCAGGCUCAUAUUCCUAAUAUCCAAGUAAUCCAGAAACUCUCCUCUUAUUAAAAUUUUUAGGAGUUCUUGUCAUGGCUCAGUGGUUAAUGAAUCUAAGAACUAUGAGGUUUUGGGUUCGAUCCCUGGCCUCGCUCAGUGGGUUAAGGAUCUGGCAUUGCCGUGGGUUGUGGUGUAGGUCUCAGAUGCAGCUCGGAUCCUGCGUUGCUAUGGCUCUGGUGAAGGCCAGCAGCUACAGCUCCGAUUAGACCCCUAGCCUGGGAACCUCCAUAUGC
rnacentral:lncRNA from 1 species